UCUAUGUCUUUUCUUCCUUUUAUAUUCCUUUGAUACUCUCUUUGUGAUCAACCGCUUAAUUGCUUUAUAACUGCCCACUUUCUCCAUGGUGGCCAACUUAUCGUGGAACUGCCGUCUCUAACUGCUGCCAUUACUCUUUGUCGUUCAACCGUCCUCAACUGAACAUCUUGAAUCGCGGAACGUCAUAAAAUUACCCAAUAACUGCUUCGAUAACUGUACUUUUGGAUAACCAUAAUAUCUUAUGUUUGCUAAGAUCCUGGGCGAUUCGAAAGUUUGGGCGAGAACAGGGUCAUAACUCUGGACGACUACAAGGCACUUCAUUCGCUCAGAUCCUGGGUGUCUUGUAAGUUUGGGCGAUGGUGUUACCGCGUUCGUGGGCUUUCACUGCAUUCAUUAAUAACCAUAUUUGGACCUUUAUCCUGAAUUGCCCAGUUGGGCUUCAUUCUUUGGGUUAUUUGAAUUGGGCUGCACUUUUUG
rnacentral:lncRNA from 1 species